rnacentral:rRNA from 1 species
GACGAACGCUGGCGGCGUGCCUAAUACAUGCAAGUCGAGCGGACAGAUGGGAGCUUGCUCCCUGAAGUCAGCGGCGGACGGGUGAGUAACACGUGGGCAACCUGCCUCUAAGACUGGGAUAACUUCGGGAAACCGGAGCUAAUACCAGAUACGUUCUUUUCUCGCAUGAGAGAAGAUGGAAAGAUGGUUUCGGCUAUCACUUACAGAUGGGCCCGCGGCGCAUUAGCUAGUUGGUGAGGUAAUGGCUCACCAGGGCGACGAUGCGUAGCCGACCUGAGAGGGUGAUCGGCCACACUGGGACUGAGACACGGCCCAGACUCCUACGGGAGGCAGCAGUAGGGAAUCUUCCGCAAUGGACGAAAGUCUGACGGGGCAACGCCGCGUGAACGAUGAAGGCCUUCGGGUCGUAAAGUUCUGUUGUUAGGGAAGAACAAGUACCAGAGUAACUGCUGGUACCUUGACGGUACCUAACCAGAAAGCCACGGCUAACUACGUGCCAGCCGCCGCCGUAAGAC